UGGGGAAUAUUGCACAAUGGGGGAAACCCUGAUGCAGCGACGCCGCGUGAGCGAAGAAGGUUUUCGAAUCGAAAAGCCCUGUCCUAUGGGAAGAUAAUGACGGUACCAUAGGAGGAAGCCCCGGCUAACUACGUGCCAGCAGCCGCGGUAAUACGUAGGGGGCAAGCGUUGUCCGGAAUCACUGGGCGUAAAGGGUUCGCAGGCGGAAAUGCAAGUCAGUUGUGAAAGGCAGAGGCUCAACCUCUGUAAGCAAUUGAAACUGUAUUUCUUGAGAUGUGGAGAAGCAAGUGGAAUUCCUAGUGUAGCGGUGAAAUGCGUAGAUAUUAGGAAGAAUACCGGUGGCGAAGGCGACUUGCUGGACACAAACUGACGCUGAGGAACGAAAGCGUGGGUAACAAACAGG
rnacentral:rRNA from 1 species